CCUACGGGCGGCUGCAGUGGGGAAUAUUGCACAAUGGGCGCAAGCCUGAUGCAGCCAUGCCGCGUGUGUGAAGAAGGCCUUCGGGUUGUAAAGCACUUUUAGCGGGGAGGAAGGCGGUGAGGUUAAUAACCUCAUCGAUUGACGUUACCCGCAGAAGAAGCACCGGCUAACUCCGUGCCAGCAGCCGCGGUAAUACGGAGGGUGCAAGCGUUAAUCGGAAUUACUGGGCGUAAAGCGCACGCAGGCGGUCUGUCAAGUCGGAUGUGAAAUCCCCGGGCUCAACCUGGGAACUGCAUUCGAAACUGGCAGGCUAGAGUCUUGUAGAGGGGGGUAGAAUUCCAGGUGUAGCGGUGAAAUGCGUAGAGAUCUGGAGGAAUACCGGUGGCGAAGGCGGCCCCCUGGACAAAGACUGACGCUCAGGUGCGAAAGCGUGGGGAGCAAACAGGAUUAGAUACCCGUGUAGUC
rnacentral:rRNA from 1 species